rnacentral:rRNA from 1 species
UGUAAGCGUAUACCAAAGUUGUUGCAGUUAAAACGCUCGUAGUCGGAAUUUGGCAGUUCCGGAUGUGUGCACGUCGUGUGCGCACUUCGCGGGGAUUGCUUUUGUGGUCUUGCGUAGGAUGAGGCACUUUUAUUAGUGAACGUCCUCACGCAACCACUUUUUACUGUGAGAAAAUCAGAGUGCUCAAAGCAGGCAUUUGCCGUGAAUGUAUUAGCAUGGAAUAAUAGAAUAGGACUUGGUUCUAUUUUGUUGGUUUGUUGGGACUGAGCAAUGAUUAAGAGGGACAGUUGGGGGCAUUUGUAUUUCGGUGCUAGAGGUGAAAUUCUUAGAUUACCGAAAGACAAACUGCUGCGAAAGCGUCUGCCAAGGAUGUUUUCAUUGA